UGGAAUGAGACAUCAACCUAUGUUUAGCCAAUCAGGCUCAAAAUGUCAAGAAUUGAUGUAAGGUAGGACCUUAUUGUAUGGUUUCUUUUGGUAGCUAUCUUUAUGGAUCUUUUAGGAAGUUUUGAUUAGGAUAUAGAGGGAUUGUCGACUCUUCUUUUCCUCUGCAACUUGUCAAAUUAUUGCUUAUGGAAUGGCUUUACAAUCACCAUAUUCAACCCUUCUAUAUUAUGUGGUUGGCAUGCAGCAGCCUUCUUGAUUGUGUAUUAACAGUAAAAUGAUUCAAUUUUUGAUAAUCAGAAAGCUAACAUCGAGAGAAAAGUUAAGGCAGUAACCCAUUAAUAAAAACAACAAAAAAAGAUCCUUUAUUAUAAUAAAAAACUAGAGAUCAAAUCUCAUAUCAUCUUAAUCAAACCAUAGCAAACUGACCCUGGACAAGAUAACAAACAUAGCCAAAAAAACUAUGGAUCAUCCCACCCGACCACCUAGACCUAGGCAUAUGCUAAAAACAACAUAUGCCCUCACUUUAACCAUAAUAAUAUAGUAGUAAUAAUAGUAGUAAAUAAAAUACUAAGAAACAGAAUAAACACAACCAACUUUAAUAAGACCCCCAUCUUUCACCAACCAUUGAACUAUUUCCCAUAUUCACUAAAAUUCUUCAGAAUUUACUCUUCAGCUUUCUCCACUGGAACUGCUUUCUCUUCAACAGAUUCUGCUGCUGCUACUGGUUCCUCAGCUGCUGCAUCUGUGGUUUUCUCAGCCACUGCUUCUUCAGUUACUGGAGCUGAUUCAUCUGCUACAGGGACAGCUUUCUCUGUUUCUGGUUCCUCGACAGGGGCUGCUUCGAGUUCAGCCUCCGCGACAGGGGCUGCAACCUCUUCAACAGGAGCCGCAACUGGUUCCUCAGCUGCUGGCUCCUCUGUUUCUAUGGCUGCAGGUUCUGCUGCAGCCACAGGUUCUUCAGCAGCAGGGGCUGCUUCCUCAGCGGGAGCAGGCUCUUCUACUGGUGCUGCUGCUGAUUCGACGACGGAUUCGCUUUCUACAACUGGGGUUGGUUCCUCUACUUUGGUUUCCUCUGGGGUUGUUUUUACCUC
rnacentral:lncRNA from 1 species